AGCGGUCCAAAGCGGUAUCUAGCG
rnacentral:siRNA from 1 species